GAUGAACGCUGGCGGCGUGCCUAAUACAUGCAAGUCGAGCGAACAGACGAGGAGCUUGCUCCUCUGACGUUAGCGGCGGACGGGUGAGUAACACGUGGAUAACCUACCCAUAAGACUGGGAUAACUUCGGGAAACCGGAGCUAAUACCGGAUAAUAUAUUGAACCGCAUGGUUCAAUAGUGAAGGACGGUUUUGCUGUCACUUAUAGAUGGAUCCGCGCCGCAUUAGCUAGUUGGUAAGGUAACGGCUUACCAAGGCAACGAUGCGUAGCCGACCUGAGGGGGUGAUCGGCCACACUGGAACUGAGACACGGUCCAGACUCCUACGGGAGGCAGCAGUAGGGAAUCUUCCGCAAUGGGCGAAAGCCUGACGGAGCAACGCCGCGUGAGUGAUGAAGGUCUUCGGAUCGUAAAACUCUGUUAUUAGGGAAGAACAAAUGUGUAAGUAACUAUGCACGUCUUGACGGUACCUAAUCAGAAAGCCAUGGCUAACUACGUGCCAGCAGCCGCCGUAACAC
rnacentral:rRNA from 1 species